CUGUUCUAUACAAUUUAAAUAACACCGUUGGAUUCUGCUUGCCUUAAUAUGUUACUUAUUUGGUAUAGAACCUAAUGAUGUUAACUCUCUUGUGUUUCAAUUGCAAUGUGCAUACUGAUAGCUAUGAUCAAGCUGCGUCAAAUUUAGUUGCUGGAACUAAUCUUGAGCAGACUAUUCAACAUAUAAUGGAUAUGGGUGGUAGAAAUUGGGAUAGAUAAACAGUUACACAUGCACUUCGAGCGGCUUUUAACAACCCAGAGUGAGCAGUGGACUACUUGUACUCUCCCAUGCUGCAGGAACUUGGAAAGCAAAACCCACAGCUUUUAAGAUUAAUUCAGGAGCACCAUGCCGAGUUCCUUCAAUUAAUAAAUGAACCUCUUGAGGGUUCUGAAGGGACCAAAAGGGAGAAAGGGAGCAGGGAUAGAAGCUUGGUAUUUUCAUAUGUGGAAUGAGGGGGCUAAGUUUGUCGUCAAUACAUAUAUCUAGGAUCUAUUAGAAUUUUUUUUUUGUCUUAAUGUAUGGAUGAUUGUGAAAUACAUCCUUUGUAGAC